rnacentral:lncRNA from 1 species
CUUUGAAUGAGAGUAUGGAAAAUUCUCCGACACAAAAAGGGAAAUUUGGACACAGAGCCAUGGAGGGAAGAUGCCUUGAAGACGCAGAAAGAAGAUGACCACCUUGAAGCAAGGGAUUCCCAAGGCUGCCAGAACCCAGAAAAGAGGCCAGGAACAGACUCUUCUUCAUUGCCGUCAGAGGGAACCAACCACAGACUCUUCUUCAUUGCCACAGAGGGAACCAACCCUGCUGGCACCUUGGUCUUGGACUUCCAGCCUCAGAACUGUGUGACAAUGAAUGUCCAUUAUCUGAGAUGCUCAGUCUGUGUCCUUUGUCACAGCAACCCCAGGGAACUCAUACAGGAGGCAGGUGGCUUCCCCAACCACAGCUCUGUGGUCUGCUGGGUGAGACCUGCUGUAUUGCUCUCAGGAGCUCUUAAAAAUAGCCUGAAUGAAAGACAGGACUCCAGGGUGAGUGGAUGAAUUUAAUCUGUGCCAUGUAAAUCCCUUUAUAGGUGAUCAGAAGGGGACACAAAGAUCUAGAUAUUUGUUUUUCUCUUUCUACAGUGUAUAUAUACAAAGUUCACAAAUAUUAUACCCUCUCCAAGAAAGCACUUAGUAGAUGACCACUCCAGAAAAAGCAUGGUUUGUCCUCUGCACUGUCCACAUUCCUCUUUCUGUCUGUAAAUGAUGAUCACUGAAUUCCGCCCCCCGAGAGAUUAGAAAGCAUCUCCUAUGCUCUCAAAAAGGAUUCAUAAGUGCAUUCACUUCAGAGUAUAAAUUAUUGGUUCUCAAAUUCUAAUGUUCACAGGAAUUUCCUGGAAUAUUUGCUAAAAUGAAGACUCCCAGAGUCCCCCACAGAUCUACAGAAUCAGAAUCUUUCGUGGUGGGACUAGAAAUCUCCAGUCAAUCAUCCACCCUCCUCCUCCCCACCCCAGGAUACUGAUGCAGACAGCCUGGUCACCCCUCCUGGAGAAACACUAUUGUAGAUGACCGAUUAAAGUGUAUGGCUUUACCUCUCUUACAUAUGCGUUUUGGGGAAGCAAUACAAUUUUUGCAGGUUAAAACUAAAGGAAUGAUUAUCUAAGUGUGGAAUGUUAGACUCUGUUGACUUGGGUGACAGAGAACCCUCCUCAACUAGCUCCUCAGCAAGGCUGGGCUCCUUCCUCCAGCAAAU